rnacentral:rRNA from 1 species
AGUGAACGCUGGCGGUAGGCCUAACACAUGCAAGUCGAACGGCAGCACAGUAAGAGCUUGCUCUUACGGGUGGCGAGUGGCGGACGGGUGAGGAAUACAUCGGAAUCUACUUUUUCGUGGGGGAUAACGUAGGGAAACUUACGCUAAUACCGCAUACGACCUACGGGUGAAAGCAGGGGAUCUUCGGACCUUGCGCGAUUGAAUGAGCCGAUGUCGGAUUAGCUAGUCGGCGGGGGAAAGGCCCACCAAGGCGACGAUCCGUAGCUGGUCUGAGAGGAUGAUCAGCCACACUGGAACUGAGACACGGUCCAGACUCCUACGGGAGGCAGCAGUGGGGAAUAUUGGACAAUGGGCGCAAGCCUGAUCCAGCCAUACCGCGUGGGUGAAGAAGGCCUUCGGGUUGUAAAGCCCUUUUGUUGGGAAAGAAAAGCAGCAUGUUAAUACCCCGCUGUUCUGACGGUACCCAAAGAAUAAGCACCGGCUAACUUCGUG